GUGCUCGCUUCUGCAGCACUUAUACUAAAAUUGGAAUGAUACCGAGAAGAUUAGCAUGGCCCCUGUGCAAGGGUGACACACAGAUUUGUGAAGCAUUCCAUAUUUUU
rnacentral:snRNA from 1 species